AUUAUAAAGGAACUCCAUCCAAGCCAGCUGCUUAUUGUGAUUUAUUGUGGCUUCUUGAGAGGAAUUUUAAAUAAAAACCCUUAUACGUUCUACUCAGGAUGUUGAAUGUUGAUGUACUGAGAAAUUUAAAUGUGAAAGUGGCAACUUAAAACAUCCCCUUAAGGACCAAUCUGUCUGGGAUAUACAAUUUUUAAAACAUCCUUACCACCCUGGAUUCAAUAAAAUUCAAUGAAUCAAAGACCUACAUUUUCCUUCAUUGUUACAUAAACAGGCAACUUCAAGAGCCACUCCUUAUGUCAAAAUGACAAAAGCAGCAUCACACCAACACAACACAAUUUUUGUCCCUUUCAUAUCAGUGAGUGACAUCACAAUGCAGGUAAUAAAAAAGACAGAACUUGUGCAGAGUUUGGUCAUUUGCCAUUUCUUCUUUCUCCAUCUGCUGUCGCUGCUACUGGUUGUUUGAAACAGCCCACCUGAUACCCUGCUGAAAAUUGCCUCCAUUCUUCAGAAAAAGGCUUCUGUGGAGUUCAAGAACGAAGUAGUUUGGACUUGGUUCCAGCAGCAAAGUUGGAGAUCUUCAUUUCCAGGAGUUUUGCAAUUAAUUCUCUUGCCUACAUGGGACCCAGCCACUAAAUUAACUGUCGUUAGUGAUA